UGCCAGCAGCCGCGGUAAUACGAGGGGUGCAAGCGUUAAUCGGAAUUACUGGGCGUAAAGCGUACGCAGGCGGUUUUUUAAGCCAGAUGUGAAAGCCCCGGGCUCAACCUGGGAAUAGCAUUUGGAACUGGGGAACUAGAGUCUUGUAGAGGGGGGUAGAAUUUCAGGUGUAGCGGUGAAAUGCGUAGAGAUCUGAAGGAAUACCGGUGGCGAAGGCACUUUACUGGGCUAUUACUAACACUCAGAGACGAAAGCUAGGGUAGCAAAUGGGAUUAGAUA
rnacentral:rRNA from 1 species